GUUAACUCGUACGUUAAAGUAUGAUAUCAAGAAGGAACUGGCAUGUCUUAGACAUGUGUUUAAGAAGCUGACACACUAAAACCUGAGGACAAGACUAAAUGCAGAAGCUGUCUUGAUUCAGUUCAUGCUGUUAAACAAGAGAUACUGUCAGCGGUUUGGGAAGAUGGUAGGCGAUUGGCUUGAACAUUCUAUUGUAUGGAACCUUGUCAAGUGGGACGGAUAAAUGAGACAGAAUCGCAAUGGUCCCGAAGAUUUUGAACGAAUUAUCUUCGUUAAUGGGACCUCUUGAACUGGGAAUUUUUCAAUGUAACACAUAAUUGGGAUUAUAUAGAUCAAUUCCUGUAUAAGUGGAAAUUUUGUGAAAUUGAAUAUUAGACUAUCUACAAAACUUAGGGUAAGAUGACACGUAAUCCUAAACGGGAAUGACGUUUUAAAUGUAGUUUCGGAGUUCAAACUAUUUCUCCGUAUGUAAUUUGACAUAUUUGACAGCGCUCAAGACGAGAUUGUGACUUUGAAACAGAAAAUGGCUUAGUCAUGAUGCCUAAACAGAAAAAUUUAGUUUUCGAAUUUCUACAUACAGUACUGUUAAGGCAUCUUGACUAAGACUCCAGAACGAGACUUAGCGUCUCCUCUAUGUCAAAAUAAAUUUUUGACGUUCAGUUCACAGACUUAGCGCUGACUUUAGUUCUGAUACUUACCUACGUAAGUAGACACUUAAUGCUAAGUAUGAUAUUACGAAUAUUCUACAUACGAGAGUUCCACGUUUUAGUAUCAACUGAUUCUUAACUUCACCAGUUCUUUUCUGAAGCUUUAUUAGGUAGCAAACUCGUAUGUAUUUCAAUAAAAUGGUGAUAGCAAUCAAAG